rnacentral:rRNA from 1 species
CCCUGGUGAUGAUUGCGGUAGGGUAACACCUCUUCCCAUUCCGAACAGAGAAGUUAAGACUACCAGCGCCGAAAAUACUGAACAGAAAGUUUGGGAAGAUAGGUCGUCGCCGGGGUU